UCCUGCUCCUCCGCCGCCCCCGUCCGCCGCCCCCCUCCUCCUCUGCUGCCUCCGUCCGCCGACCUAGGCGACCCCCAUCGCUGUCGAUGGCGCCCGGUGCGGCGAGGUCGACGCCGCCUCCCUCUCCCGCACCAGACCCCACGGAGGGAAGGGAGCCUCCUUCAUCGUGCUGCGAGCGUGGCGACGACAAGCACUAGAGGGAGCCGUGCUUUUUGCCUCCUCUGCCGUCUCAGGGUCGUCGUGCCACCACCAGGCUGUGGCGCUCCUACUCUCCGCCGCCCUCUACGCUGACGAGCAAGGGCGGGAUCCCCAUCACGGCAUCCUCCACUCCGAUGGCAGGAGCGGUGCUCCUCACUGUGCUGGUACACCAUGCUGCUCAGAUCCGUCACGGUGGACUCGAUACAGGUGUGCAUUUCCUUACCAAAGGUGCGCACCUCUAUUUUUCUGCUCUAUUGGGAAGCUUACACCGAGCACACUACACGUGUAUCCUCCUCUUUCCUGUAGCCUUCCUCCAGAUGUUUUUGGUGUCUUACGAUUUUGUUGGCUGCUCAGAUGGGACGAGGCUGUUAGACUUUUUGGUAUGAGUGAGUUCCCCUAACUUGUUUGGUCGAUUUUUUGUUACUGCUACCCCAGAUAGCCAGCGACCAUGGCCUCUGGACUUUAGUCUGUUCGUGAGCCUGGAGAGCUGACACUUCUCUUUUUUGUGCCUACCUUUGGCCACAUUGUUUCUUAGCAUACAUUCAUAAUCUAACAUUAUAUGUAUGAUUUUCUGUUUUGCCUCUGCAGGGCAAGAAGGAAGUAGAAUGAGGCGCACUCUUAGGAAUCCUCUGUCCUAAGAAAGAACAUGGAAAGCGCACUCUUGGGAAAAAGAAGGAAACUACAAUCUAGCAAAUGAAUAAAGAAACAGAAGCUUGCUCACAAAAUUUCGCAUAAGUGGUUGGCAUCAUCACUAGAAGAUCUUCAUAGUAAUAACACAAUCAAGUGAGGGGAGGUUUCUGAUCUUCAGAGCAUUGCAAGUUUGGUUACUCUUCUGCUGGAGACAUGUGGCCCUCUUCGAGUAAUGCAGAUUCACAGGAUAGUGCUGAGUCUGGUAUUCAAAAGACAUCCCAUGAAUAUGGUAAUGUACUAAUGUCAUCCAACAAACGGCUGAGCAGAAAAUGUGAUAAUGCCAUUGUCUUAUUGGACAUGGUUGUAGCCAUGAGUCAAGCUCAAACAGUUGGUGUAACUUAGUUGUAAAUUAUGUUUAUUGAUGUGGUUGGAUGCUACUGAACAAAUGUAUGUAUGUUGAAAUGUUGAAAUUUUAGUAUGAAAGUGUUUGAGGUCUGCUAUUGAA